rnacentral:rRNA from 1 species
ACGGAGAGUUUGAUCCUGGCUCAGGAUGAACGCUAGCGGCAGGCCUAAUACAUGCAAGUCGAACGCGAUUUAAGACUUCGGUUUUAAUGAAAGUGGCGCACGGGUGCGUAACGCGUGGGGAUCUACCAUAGGGUGCGGAAUAACUCAGAGAAAUUUGAGCUAAUACCGCAUAAUGUCUUCGGACCAAAGAUUUAUCGCCCUUUGAUGAACCCGCGUAAGAUUAGCUUGUUGGUGAGGUAAAGGCUCACCAAGGCGACGAUCUUUAGCUGGUCUGAGAGGAUGAUCAGCCACACUGGAACUGAGACACGGUCCAGACUCCUACGGGAGGCAGCAGUGGGGAAUAUUGGACAAUGGGGGCAACCCUGAUCCAGCGAUGCCGCGUGAGUGAUGAAGGCCUUAGGGUUGUAAAACUCUUUCAGGGGUGAAGAUAAUGACGGUAACCCCAGAAGAAGCUCCGGCUAACUCCGUGCCAG